rnacentral:lncRNA from 1 species
GUUCAGCGACAGCCGGAGGAGAGGAGAAGGGAUGCCCGGGCGCCUAACGAAACCCCUUGGUACAAAGAGGAGAACAAAGAGAACUGGGCAAUUUUGGGGUGGGUGCCCGGGCAGAAGUCUUCGUACCGGUUGCUCGGGAAGGUAGAGCUGCACCUUGGUGUGCGAUGGGGCACUUUCUCGCCGAGGGGAGAAAGAAGAAAGCUAUUUCCUACGGGUACUGCAGACACAAAGCGCUCGUGCAGCAGGAGCAGGGAAUGGCCAGAGGGAACCUUUCCGGCCACCAGGUUUCCUUGCGUUGGAAAAGCGUGCGCUCAGCCUCCUCCGCCCUUGUGCGCUCCCCACCCCCCACCCCACCCCCCACCUCCUUCUUUUUUCCUCAUUUUUUCUUUCUUUCUCUUUUGUCUUUACUUCUUUCUUCUUUUUAAUUUUAUUAUUUUUUUUUCUCUCGUGUUUCUGGAAAGCUUCUGCCAGGGCAGAGUGGGGCAGAAGCGCUCGGGUAGCAGCAUCUGUUCGGAGGAGCCGGAGAACGGGCACCGUCCGAACCACAUUUCCACGGGAGGGGUUGGCAGGGGACGCGGAGAGAGACCGCAGGGUCAGCGGAGCAAAGCAACGCCUCUAAAGCCACGGACGGCUCUCGGGGGCACGGGGCACUGCUUUCCCCCACCGCCCCUCGGCUUUUCGCCUUUGUGUCACAAAGAAAGUGAGAGAGCAUCGCUGAAGGAAUUAAGGGAGUUCCGACGGCGGGAAAAAGAGGGUCUGUGUGUGCGGUGGGUGGGUGAGGGGGGCUUGCCGGAGGGUCGGGCACCCACUGCAGGGGAUGGGGCCCCGCGUACAACCUCUGUCCCUCCAUCCGCCCCCACGGGCGGCCCCGAGGUGACUCCGCCACACAAAGGGGCGACGGGGCGCGGGCCAGCCCUCAUUGUCCCACUUGUCACGUCCUCCCGGCCACCCCCAUUCCCUUCGGGCACAGGGAUUAAGACCCAAAAGCAUUUUUUUUUUUUUUCCUCCUUUUUUUUUUUUUUUUUUUUUCCUUUCUUUCUUUCUUAA